rnacentral:rRNA from 1 species
CUUCCGGUGAUCCUGCCGGACCCGACUGCUAUCAGAGUGGGACUAAGCCAUGCGAGUCGACGUAGCAAUGCGUGGCGAACGGCUCAGUAACACGUAGUCAACAUGCCCAGGGGACGUGGAUAACCUCGGGAAACUGAGAAUAAACCACGAUAGGUCACGAUUUCUGGAAUGGAUCAUGGCCUAAAUCUACAUGGCCCCUGGAUUGGACUGCGGCCGAUCAGGCUGUUGGUGAGGUAAUGACCCACCAAACCUAUAACCGGUACGGGCUCUGAGAGGAGAAGCCCGGAGAUGGGCACUGAGACAAGGGCCCAGGCCCUAUGGGGCGCAGCAGGCGCGAAACCUCUGCAAUAGGCGAAAGCCUGACAGGGUUACUCUGAGUGAUUUCCGCUAAGGGGAUCUUUUGGCACCUCUAAAAAUGGUGCAGAAUAAGGGGUGGGCAAGUCUGGUGUCAGCCGCCGCGGUAAUACCAGCACCCCGAGUGGUCGGGACGAUUAUUGGGCCUAAAGCAUCCGUAGCCGGUUCUGCAAGUCUUCCGUUAAAUCCAGCCGCUCAACGGAUGGGCCGCGGAGGAUACUACAGGACUAGGAGGCGGGAGAGGCAAGCGGUACUCAGUGGGUAGGGGUAAAAUCCUUUGAUCCAUUGAAGACCACCAGUGGCGAAGGCGGCUUGCCAGAACGCGCUCGACGGUGAGGGAUGAAAGCUGGGGGAGCAAACCGGAUUAGAUACCCGGGUAGUCCCAGCUGUAAACGAUGCAGACUCGGUGAUGGGCUAGCCUUGUGCCAGCCCAGUGCCGCAGGGAAGCCGUUAAGUCUGCCGCCUGGGGAGUACGGUCGCAAGACUGAAACUUAAAGGAAUUGGCGGGGGAGCA